GUUAAUAUUCCCGUACUUCUUACAAUUGCGAUGGGGGGGACGGAGAAGGCUAGGUGGGCCUGGCGACGGUUGUCCAGGUUCAAGUGCGUAGGCUUAAGAGUUAGGUAAAUCCGGCUCUUUUUAAGGCUGAGACACGACGUCGAGCACCUACGGGUGUGAAGUCAUUGAUGCCAUGCUUCCAGGAAAAGCCUCUAAGCUUCAGAUUGUAAGGAAUCGUACCCCAAACCGACACAGGUGGUCGGGUAGAGAAUACCAAGGCGCUUGAGAGAACUCGGGUGAAGGAACUAGGCAAAAUGGUACCGUAACUUCGGGAGAAGGUACGCUCUUGAUGGUGAAGUCCCUUGCGGAUGGAGCUGACGAGAGUCGCAGAUACCAGGUGGCUGCAACUGUUUAUUAAAAACACAGCACUGUGCAAAAUCGUAAGAUGACGUAUACGGUGUGACGCCUGCCCGGUGCCGGAAGGUUAAUUGAUGGGGUUAGACUUCGGUCGAAGCUCUUGAUCGAAGCCCCGGUAAACGGCGGCCGUAACUAUAACGGUCCUAAGGUAGCGAAAUUCCUUGUCGGGUAAGUUCCGACCUGCACGAAUGGCGUAAUGAUGGCCACGCUGUCUCCACCCGAGACUCAGUGAAAUUGAAAUCGCUGUGAAGAUGCAGUGUACCCGCGGCUAGACGGAAAGACCCCGUGAACCUUUACUACAGCUUGGCACUGAACAUUGACCCUACAUGUGUAGGAUAGGUGGGAGGCUUUGAAGCACGUACGCCAGUAUGUGUGGAGCCGUCCUUGAAAUACCACCCUUGUAGUGUUGAUGUUCUAACGUCGACCCCUUAUCGGGGUUACGGACAGUGCCUGGUGGGUAGUUUGACUGGGGCGGUCUCCUCCCAAAGAGUAACGGAGGAGCACGAAGGUGGGCUAAUCACGGUUGGACAUCGUGAGGUUAGUGCAAUGGCAUAAGCCCGCUUGACUGCGAGAAUGACAAUUCGAGCAGGUGCGAAAGCAGGUCAUAGUGAUCCGGUGGUUCUGAAUGGAAGGGCCAUCGCUCAACGGAUAAAAGGUACUCCGGGGAUAACAGGCUGAUACCGCCCAAGAGUUCAUAUCGACGGCGGUGUUUGGCACCUCGAUGUCGGCUCA
rnacentral:rRNA from 1 species